rnacentral:siRNA from 1 species
GGGACAUGUGGGUUAUGGGUCUA